AUGACUUAACAUUACAUUUUCUAUUAUUUUAUUCAUUUCGAAAUUAUCGUUUGAAAGCCUACAUUCACCUUUGUGCUGUUUUCAAGUAACUUGUUCAAUACUCGCCAAGCAAUGUCAAUGUAACGAUAUUAUAUGAUACAAAUAACGACGUAAGUUCGGUCGCGCAGCAAAAUCCCUAUCCGCUCCAAGCCUGCCGUAAGGAACUUCGUUCCAAUUAAGAAAAGGCUUAUUUUCAAUGAGGAACAAACGAUAAGAUGAAAUAAAUCGAUUCAAUUUCAACCAUAUAACAUCUAUUAACUUGGAUUUAAAUCACAAUUUGUAUAUGACAAAUUUGUAAUGUCACUGUCAAUAGUAAUCUUCCAUUAUUUGUCAUUAAAGUUGAUCUAAAUAAACUAAAAUAUUAAUUGUCA